GGUCUCGUGGUGUAGUGGUUAUCACGUCUGUUUUUUUCGCAGAAGGUCGCCGGUUCGAUCCCGGCCGAGACCU
rnacentral:tRNA from 1 species